GACUGAUCUUGUUCCAUUAGAAUUCUGUGAUGUUUUCACAGGAAAAUGGGUUCUUGAUAACGUCACACAUCCUUUAUACAAAGAAGAUGAAUGUGAGUUUCUAUCAGAGUGGGUGGCUUGUACAAGAAACGGGAGGCCAGACUCUAAGUACCAGAAAUGGAGAUGGCAACCUCAAGAUUGCUCUUUGCCAAGGUCAGUCCCAGCUUUCUGAGAACAAAAAUAAGCAAAAUGAAUAACACUUUCUUCUUCUCUCAAUAUUCUUUCUUUUUUCGGGUUCUAGGUUCGACAGUAAGCUGCUGCUAGAGAAACUCAGGGGAAAGAAACUAAUGUUCAUUGGUGAUUCAAUACAUUACAAUCAGUGGCAAUCCAUGGUUUGUAUGGUUCAAUCCGUGAUUCCCUCAGGCAAAAAGACCUUAAAACACACAGCACAAAUGUCCAUCUUCAACAUAGAGGUAUUAAAGACUAUCUUCUAUGCAAAAAGACAAUAAUCCAAGAAGCAAAAGAACUCCAAAUCUUACCUUCUCUACUAUUCUGAAUGUGUAGGAGUACAAUGCAACCAUAUCAUUUUACUGGGCACCUUUCCUAGUCGAAUCAAAUGCUGAUCCUCCAGACAAGAGAGACGGGAAGACCGAUCCAGUAAUCAUUCCUAAUUCAAUCUCGAAACACGGCGAGAACUGGAAAGACGCAGACUACCUCAUAUUCAACACCUACAUAUGGUGGACUAGACAUUCCACGAUCAAAGUUCUGUAAGUGAUAAACGAUCUCUCUACCAAGUUCCAAACUUUCAAAUUUGCCAAUCUUGAUGAAGUUUUCUACUUUGAUGCAUGAAGAAAACAAGAAUCUUUCAACAAAGGAGACUCAAAAGAGUACAAUGAAAUCGGAAUCUAUAUAGUAUACAAACAAGUGUUAUCAACAUGGACAAAAUGGCUAGAACAAAACAUCAACCCAAGUCAAACAUCUAUCUUCUUCAGCAGCAUGUCACCAACUCAUAUCAGGUACUAAAUCAUCAAACACCCAUAAAAAUCAAAACUUUACAGAGACUGAUCCUUUUCAGUUGCAAACAGAAGUUCAGAUUGGGGAUUCAAUGAAGGAAGCAAAUGUGAAAAAGAGACAGAACCAAUACUAAACAUGUCAAAACCAAUAAAUGUUGGAACAAAUCGAAGACUUUACGAAAUCGCACUGAAUGCGACCAAAUCUACAAAAGUGCCGAUUCAUUUCCUCAACAUAACGACUAUGUCAGAGUAUAGAAAAGAUGGGCAUACCUCAUUUUACGGUUCGAUAAAUGGGAAACUCAUGACGCCGGAGCAGAAGUUAGAUCCGAGAACUUUUGCUGAUUGUUAUCAUUGGUGUCUUCCGGGAUUGCCUGAUUCAUGGAACGAGUUGCUCU
rnacentral:lncRNA from 1 species